rnacentral:sRNA from 1 species
UGUUCGAAGAAGCUUAACAUCACUACAUGCAGAGGUAGAAACAGUAGUUUCGGUGAUGAAAUGUAUGAUCGACCAAGAGAAGCGAGAAAUAGUUUUCCAUACAGAUAACUUAGAUAUGGUGAAAAUCGCUUGCAUGGUUGAUAGGAAGCGAUUCAAAACAAUAUGAA